rnacentral:rRNA from 1 species
UCCGUAGGCGAGCGAUUAAGUCAGAGGUGAAAUCCCACAGCUUAACUGUGGAACUGCCUUUGAUACUGGUCGUCUUGAGUUAUAGUGAAGUAGAUAGAAUAUGUAGUGUAGCGGUGAAAUGCUUAGAUAUUACAUAGAAUACCGAUUGCGAAGGCAGUCUACUAACUAUAUACUGACGCUAAUGGACGAAAGCGUGGGGAGCGAACAGGAUUAGAUACCCUGGUAGUCC